CGGCGGGCUAGCCCGGGUAAUUCGGCGUUACCUGUAACCCGAAACCGUCGAUAGCGGGGGGCGAAGCCAGAGGAAGAAGUUUUGACUGUUGCCCGGCCCGCAGGUUCUACUGUGAAACCCCGUCCUGUGGGGCUAGUGUCGGUGCAAGGGCUUUCCUGAAGGAAGGUUUUUGUAUCUUAAUUGCGGACAAAGGUCU
rnacentral:SRP_RNA from 1 species